CUUAUGAUGGCGACCGGCGCACGGGUGCGUAACGCGUAUGCAACCUACCUUUUACAGGGGCAUAACACUGAGAAAUUGGUACUAAUUCCCCAUAAUAUCUGAGACGGCAUCGUUUUGGGUUGAAAACUCCGGUGGUAAAAGAUGGGCAUGCGUUGUAUUAGCUAGUUGGUGAGGUAACGGCUCACCAAGGCGACGAUACAUAGGGGGACUGAGAGGUUAACCCCCCCACAUUGGUACUGAGACACGGACCAAACUCCUACGGAAGGCAGCAG
rnacentral:rRNA from 1 species